AAUUAAUUUUGGCAAACCCGUCGAAAGACGGGGGCGCAAAGCCAUGGGUCUGUAGCCGAUAAGGCCAUGAUCGCCAGGUUGCCGGU
rnacentral:ncRNA from 1 species